rnacentral:lncRNA from 1 species
AGUCAUCCUUGGACAGGAGAGAUCCCAGAGGGCUCUGCAGUCCCAGGGAUUCGCAGUGUUAGUUGAUCUCCGGGGACACUAGUUCCCAAGAGACCCCACUGAAGGCCUGGCUGUACCAUCAUAGGCUGUGUGCCCUUGGGCAAGAACCUCUACCAUUCCUCGUUGCCUGUAUAUAAAUUGAAGGCUUUGCUCUAGAUGAAAGGCUUGGCACUGCAGCAGCCACCUUGUAUCCACGAGGCAGUAAACCUCAGCCGACAGCCACCUGCUUCAGAUGGCAGCCCAGGAAGGUGAAAAGAGACUGGGUUCUCGAUGGCAACUUCGAGUCACGACAGCCUUAGACUUCUGUGAUAUGAAAAAACAACCCUCAUAGUUGUUUAAGCCUCUGGUUUUCAGAUUUCUGUCACAGCUGAAGGGAAUCUCAAGCAGAUCCUUCCUCUGAGCAUCUGCUCUCUUCUCAAGGGGCCUUCCGGUCACAUGCUUUCCUUCAUUCCCAUUACAUUUCCGUCCAGGUUCUAAUGUCCUAGGGAUAUUGUAGCACGCCUCUGCCUGGCCUAACUUCAACCUCCCUCUGGAUGUGAGAGGCAGACCUCACUGUAGGAAGAGGGUGAAGGAAGGGUGUCGAAUAAUGCAUAAGGAACCAAGGACUAAUAUCCAUAUAUACAGACCCAAACAUCAGGUGACACUGAGCGUGUGCAUCCACAGCUUCUCACACCUGCCUUGUCUGGUAGACACCAGCUCUGGAUCCCCAGACCUCUCACCUGAGCUCUAGGGCAAACGCUUCCCGACAUCCCCCGUGGCGGGCAGCGAGGCCGGGAUGGUGUGGAGCUGCGCACUUCCAGCUUCUGGGAUGCAAGGCCCUGUCACCACUCGAUUUCCAGGUGUCUGCUUCACAGUGAUCUGUUAAACUGCCAUAUGUGUUUUAUGCACCUUCCUGGGUUGUGCUACAGCUGA